AUGAUUGACCUAAAUAAGGAACCAGAUGAUAUGGAUAUUGGUGAUCCAGUGAACUCUACACAACAGGGUGCUCAAAAUCCUGAGUUAACCGGUGAUUCUCCUAAUCCUCCUAUAGUGCAAAAUGCCACUGCUCCUGUGGCAAAAACAGUGGAGACAGAUGAGCAAGCUCCUGCAGCACAAGAAUCUGAGACUGAUGGUCAUACCCUUGAUGGAACGGAUGCCGCGGGUGAUACAAGUGUGACUGUUGGUAAUGGUUUGACAGGCUUUGGUGCUGAAAAUGAUGAAGAGGCUUGGUCACAACCCAAGGAGCCUCAUGUGGGCAUGAGGUUUGACACGUCGGAAGGUGCCAAAGAGCACUACAAUGCAUAUGCCUUGCAGAUUGGUUUUUCAAUCAAAAUGAAUACUUCAAGGAAGGCUGUGAAAACUGGAGUGUUGAUAAAACAACAGUUUGUUUGCAACAAGUUUCGAAAGCCUGAAGCCGAUGACGGAGGGGCAGAAAAAAUCCGUGUGUUAGAUGAUAUCGUUGAUCAAACAAAAGAUGAUGAUGAAGACGAGGAUAUUGUCUUUCUUGAUGAUGAUGAUGAUAAUAAACCAAAAAGAGGAGCAAGAAACGAAAGAGAGAUAAAAUAG
rnacentral:rRNA from 1 species